GGACUUUGAGCUCAAUGCCAUGACUGACGAAGACCAUGGGGUUUUCUCUCUUAGAGGGGAGGAAUCCUUGAUAUUCUUCAUUCCAAUUGUUCACCUCUACUAUAGGGCUCAGUAAACACUUAAGGAAGUUGCCGUGCACUGCAGCCUGCCGGAGACAUGAAGGAAUGUACGGGAGGAUAAUCGCAACAUCAUCAACCCAAUUCUCCAAGUAAUUUGCCAUGGGACAGGCACACCCCAUGUGUUUGGGAAGACAAUGGGAAGGUUCUGUUUUCUGCUCCAAGACUGAUUCAACCAGUUGGAUCUGGAAGGGGAUAAAGGGCUGUGUGGCUGCUUGAUUUUCAUUGUCUAGUGGCAGCCAAAGUUGGAAAAGAGAGAAGUGCAGACUUUAAAGGCAAGCAGCGACAGCUCAUCAGCAGUCUAACAACACGACAGAUGACAGGCCCAGAGGCACACCCAGGGCCGCCAGCCCAUCACCCUGUGCAGGAUGUCAGAGAGCAGCUGCAGCAAAGGCAGAAGAUCAUCCAGACUUGAAUGUUUGGGCCUUGCUAAGACCAUAGAGUCUUUGUGCUUUGGAAACAGUCCUCCAUACAAAGACCCCUUCCUAGAAAAAAGUGGAAAGAAACCAAGGUGGAAUGGACACAAGAGAAAGGAGACCAUGCUAAUAUUCUUGUGCAAUGCUUCCUGGGCAGAAACUAUGUCAUAAAGGAUGUUCCAUUCUGCAAAGCUAUGUCUCUCUCUGUGGUUUGCCUCAGAGGAGGGGCCUUUCAUAGCUGUAGUGAGUAAGGGGGCCCUUGCUGAUGUUCAUCAGAUAUGCCAAGGCACAGGAAGAAAGCAUUGAGGUCACAGGGCAGCUCAGGUCCGCCUGUGGUAAUUGAAAACAGAUGAUGAGAUUGGGUUGAUUUUAUUUUGGAAAAGUAAAUUAGGGCUGCACCACUCGGACAUGGCUAAUUCAUGAAGCCUCUGGUUUGUAUUAGACACCCAACAUGCCUUUCAGAAAGAAAUGACACAACAAUUAAUGUGUCAAAUAAUAAUGUGCCACUCGGAGAAAGAUAAUUGUACCCAGCGUCAGGUAGUUAUUAGGUCGAACGAAUGCUCAUCCUUUCAAAGGCAACAGUGUCUAUUCACUCUGGCAUCCUACUGUAAGUACAGUAUUGUGCUCAUAAUCACACAGACUGAAGCCAGGAACACUGGGUUUUAUCUGAUUUUUCUCCAUUUGGAAUUGUACUCCGAUGAUUCCCUAAACAGCAAACUCAGUCAUGUGAAACACAGAUGAGUGUGAUGAAAGACAGAUUGUUAUACUGGAGGAGAGGCUUUCUGUGCUUUUCACAUAAUACAGAGCAUGAGAACUGUUCCCAAGAAGGUUUAAACAUAUGUAACAAAAACUAUCAGACCUCAGUUUGCUCAUGUGUAAAUGAUAGUCUUUCCUUCUGGUGAUUUAAUGCAUGAGGACAUCAAUCAGUCACAUCAUGGCCUCAGAAGUCCUUGUUCAAUUUCUGGUGCCGUAACUUACUCGAUGUGGGAUUUGGACAAGUCAUUUAACUUCACUGCGAUUCUGUUUCCCUCAUUUGAAAAAUAGAAAUAGAAGAGCCUGCUGUAUAUUUAGAUCCACAUCUGUUGGGAGGUCAAAGAAGAAAGAAUAUGAAAAGAUGUUUGUAAAUAUAAAGAACCAUGUAAAUAUAAGACAUUAUUUUAUUAAUGCUCCAGAUCAAUUAACAUUCAGUGAAUGAUAAAAUGUGAUAUCUUUGCAACAGAGAGAGUCUUACUUAAGAAACACUAGGCAAUGGCUUCUGUCCUUACAAAUGAAAAACUUCAUAAUAAAUGGGGGCUUUCAAGACCACCUGCCCAAAACUGAACUAAAUACUCACUUCAUUCAACCAAGAGUGAGGAACUGAAAUAUACGAUUAUUAUAUAUUCAUAUGCUUCUGUUUCAUCUACUCAGGCAUGCUUGUGAUGAGAUGAAAAAUUAGCCAUCUUUAGAAGGAGAGAAAUAUUGUAUUUGGGGGUAUUUCUUCUGUACAGACAAUUGGCCUGGUUAUUGUCUAAAGGUAUUUAAAAUUAAUAAAAUGCAAUUUUAUGCUACAUAAAAUAUUCAAAGCAACGAU